rnacentral:rRNA from 1 species
UUAGCUAAUAACCGAAUAAUAACAUCAAUAUCGCAUGAGAAGAUGUAGAAAGUCGCUCUUUGUGGCGACGCUUUUGGAUGAGGGUGCGACGUAUCAGAUAGUUGGUGAGGUAAUGGCUCACCAAGUCAAUGACGCGUAGCUGUACUGAGAGGUAGAACAGCCACAAUGGGACUGAGACACGGCCCAUACUCCUACGGGAGGCAGCAGCC